rnacentral:ncRNA from 1 species
CCCGCCAGGCCUCUUAACAAUGCCCAAAUGUGGAGGGU